GGUAAUGUCCUUUUAAAAGGAAACAGUAAUUCACAGACUUCGUCUAGGCACUGCCUACACUAAGAGCUUCCUAUAUAGGAUAAGAAAAACUAACUGCGCCACAUGUACAUGUGAAGUGGCGGAAGAAGACUUAGAACACCUCCUUCUACACUGCAAAAAUUAUGCUGUUCCCCGUAA
rnacentral:lncRNA from 1 species